rnacentral:lncRNA from 1 species
UAGAAGGAAGUACAUCUGUCGUUGCCUGAAAUUGCAGGGGCAGGGAGUGGGGAGUGUGUUUAAUGGAUGUGGGUUUUUGGGGGGGAUAAUGAACAUGUUACAAAAUUGAUUGUGGUGAUGGCUGCACAGUUCUGUAAAUACACUAAAAAAUACACAUCACUGAAUUGUGCAGUGUGAAUUGGUGAAUUGUAUGAUACGUGAAUUAUAUUUUAAUAAAGCCGUUAAACAUUUUUAACGGAAAGGGGGAUGUUACAAACAUCACAUUUAGCAGAAGACAGCUGGCAGACACAGAGCUAGAGGUGAACUAGUGGUUUGCUCUGGGUGGUGGGACCAGAGGUGAUUUUUAUUGUCUUUUCAUUUGGCUACAUUUUUCAAAAUUUCUUCAAUACCCAUACAUGUAUUUGUCAAUUUAGAGCCACAUAGCAUCACUUUCUCAACUGUCUUUUCAGACACAUUGGUCCCACCCUCCUGUCUAAAUCUUGGCUAUCAGCUCAUCCUGCUGCCUCUCCCUCCCCAUUCCUGGCUUCUCUUAACAGGAAGAGGAGCAGGGGCCUCUGCGUCAAAGGCCGGCUUUGGCAGGACGGGCUGACCAAGAGCAACCGAUUGUCGAGAUAAGAGGCCGAUAGCUGUCAGGCACGGAGCUGGUGGGCGCCAGGCUGGUGGGGCGUGGGGCAAGCCUCCGGGAAGCGACUGAUGAGAGAGCAGCAGGAGGACCAGAGGUGAUGACGAAGGCAGGGCGGGAGUGGGACGGGGGCCGCAGCAACAGAGACCCUAACCUGAGCCGCACUGACCCAGCUGUCUGACCCCUGUCCAGGGACAGGUGGGUGCGGGGUGUGAGCAGAGAGGACGGAGGCAGGUGUGGCUGUGGGCAGGGUGGCUUCUCUAAGGUCCCCCGUGGUAGUGGGGGAUCUUUUUGUAGGAUGGAGUCAUGGGCAGCCUGGGCCAGCCAGGGAGGCCCUGCCAGUGGGGAAGGAGGUGGCUGCUCCUACGGCUGGGCCAGAGGUGUCCCUGAUGUCCGUGGAUGGUCCUGGCAACCAAGAAAGCGGCUGCUCUUCCUCCUCCACACAGCCACCUUGUUCCGCAGCAGCGGAGGCCGCGGCCGGGGACGUGAGACACCAGCUGACGCCCGGAGCCUCACAACCUCUGGACACACAUUCUCCCGAGGGCCGGUGCCUGGAAACAAAGGCCACCCCCGCCGGCCGGAAACUUCUAGGCUGGCAAUGGAGAUGGGACAUCUGGUGACCCCCUCUCUAUCCUCCUCUCCCUUGGGGUCCUCCAGGAAGGCCUGCGUGAUCAAUGACCCACUUUUUUGUUUUGUUUUUGAGAUGGCCUCUUGUUCUGUCUCCCAGGCUGGGGUGCAGUGGUGUGACCUCGGUUCACUGCAACCUCCACCUCCCGGGUUCAAGCGAUUCUCCUGCCCCAGCCUCCCUCGUAGCUGGGACUGCAGGUGCGUGCCACCGCGCCCGGCUUAAUUUUUUUUUUUUUUUUGUAGACGGG